CCCUAGUAACUGCGAGUGAAGCGGGAAAAGCUCAAAUUUAAAAUCUGGUGGUCUUUGAUCAUCCGAGUUGUAAUCUAGAGAAGUGUUAUCCGCGCUGGACCGUGUACAAGUCUCCUGGAAUGGAGCGUCAUAGAGGGUGAGAAUCCCGUCUUUGACACGGACUGCCAGGGCUUUGUGAUGCGCUCUCAAAGAGUCGAGUUGUUUGGGAAUGCAGCUCAAAAUGGGUGGUAAAUUCCAUCUAAAGCUAAAUAUUGGCGAGAGACCGAUAGCGAACAAGUACCGUGAGGGAAAGAUGAAAAGAACUUUGGAAAGAGAGUUAAACAGUACGUGAAAUUGCUGAAAGGGAAACGCUUGAAGUCAGUCGCGUUGGCCGGGGAUCAACCUUGCUUUUGCUGGGCGUACUUUCCGGUUGACGGGUCAGCAUCAAUUUUGACCGUUGGAUAAAGUUCAGGGGAAUGUGGCAUCUUCGGAUGUGUUAUAGCCUCUGUUCGCAUACAACGGUUGGGAUUGAGGAACUCAGCACGCCGCAAGGCCGGGUAUUUAUACUACGUUCGUGCUUAGGAUGCUGGCAUAAUGGCUUUAAUCGACCCGUCUUGAAACACGGACCAAGGAGUCUAACAUGCCUGCGAGUGUUUGGGUGGAAAACCCGAGCGCGUAAUGAAAGUGAAAGUUGAGAUCCCUGUCGUGGGGAGCAUCGACGCCCGGACCAGACCUUUUGUGACGGAUCCGCGGUAGAGCAUGUAUGUUGGGACCC
rnacentral:rRNA from 1 species